AAUACCAUCAGUCCUAUGAGGAUACUGCUUCAAGGCAGUAGUAGUAUAUCAUCCACUAAAAGUAAAGCAGAGUGUUGCCACAGCUAUUGAAUUGUGUGACUAAAUUACCAGUGAAAUAAUAGUCUUCUUCUGUCGUGAUAUUUUUAUUUUAUUUUGUGUCAUUUAUCAAAGCAUAAUUGAAUCCCGAGGAUAAGCGGAGGAGAAAUGGUUUCUCGCCGUAAAAUUCUAUCUCGAUCCAGGGAUGAUCUGAAUCUCGAUGGAGGAGGGCCUGCCAUACCGGAUCCAGAUGAAGAGGAUAUCUGGUAUCAAAAGGAAAAACUAUACAAGGAUCAUAUUCAAGAAGUUCUCAACAAAUGGGAAUCUAUUGAUGAUGAAAUUUGGGCAAAAAUAAUCGUUCUAGAAAGGAAUCGAAGGGUUGCAAAAGCAUAUGCCCGUGCUCCAGUCCUCACAGUCAAUGGAUCAGAUGAUGGCUUUGACGGGUAUCGAAUAGGUUUAAAUGGAUUUGAGAAUCCAUUGAGGGAUCCCAAAACGGAGGAAGUAAAACGGAAUAUUGGACAAGGUUGUAAAAUCAAAAUGGAUGAUUCUGGUAACAUUCUAGUAAAACGUAUUGCUAAGGCAAAUGUUUAUGUGAAAUGCAUUUCUGAUGAGAAUUCAAUAUCAAAUGAUGUCCUUAAGUUACCAAACGGGUCCUUAGAGUCAGACAAACCCGUCAAAUUAUUCGAUAUGAAAAAGUUUCAACAGAAUUUGAAUAAAGAACUAAAGAGGUCCUAUCCGGAUCGUCGGAAAUUAGAGUGUCAAUGCAUUAGCUCAAUCGCAUUUGUUAAAAAUGAAAAUGAACUUUUAGAUUCACAUUGUUGGAUUAUGCUUAUAAACGUUGUAGCCAUGGAUAUGCUCAAAUCUAAAAUUCCUCCAGUUAGAAGCAAUAACCCCCGUUCCGCAAUAGAUAUUCGUAAUCGGCCUCGAAUUCCAAUUCCAGAUGAAGAUCCUUACUCUGUUGCUGGAAGUGGUUCCAGUGGAUCCAGUGGAAACGGAAAUAGAGAGCGCUCAAGGGACAAACCACCCAAACUUCCUCCAAGAGAUUUAUCUAGAGAUAUCUAUGCCGGAUUCGGAAAGGGAGAAUAUCCAGAGCAUAUAGAUGAACUCAGAUUCAGGCAGAUGCAAGAAAACCGAAGACGUCAAAAUAAAAAAGGAGAAAAAAAAGGCGGAGAUGACCCUUAUUAUAGUGGACUUCGAGCCCGUAUUCCAAACUUUGCAAAACCUAGAUCCCAACGUGAGAAGGAGGCUGCUCUGAACCGUUAUAAUCCAAACCAACUUGUCCCCAACUCAUCCAAUCCUGCCUUAGCACCUCUCUACGCACCAUUAAGAGUACCUCCAGGUGUCAAUGGAGGUCCCUAUGGAAUACGUCCUCCUCCUGCUAUGGUAGGCAAUAUAAUGAGUGGAAGACCUUUUGAUCGCAAUCCCACAACUUGGGUUCCUGCAGCUCCCGUUCGAAAUGUUUCAGAAUGGGAGUCCUACUGGAUAAAUGAGAAUUGACCCUCAUCAAAAACCUUAUCCCUUUGUUUAAUUUAAAAAAAAUUACAUUAAAAUUUAUAACUAAAUAUAAGAGGUGUGAAAAAAGUUUAAGUCAUCCUAUUCGUCGUUUUAGAUUAUGAAUCGGACUAUUCACACAUCUACGGAAGAUUACCUUUUCCAAAUAGGGGCAUCCGUGGCUACCUUCCACCACCACCACCUCCUCCUCAUCCCAUUGGACCUUCCAUGUACGUCAGCGAAUGGGAAUAAAAUCAAUCCCAAAUCAAUGAAGUUUUCUUCCGAAACCGGAG
rnacentral:misc_RNA from 1 species